rnacentral:rRNA from 1 species
AGGACGAACGUUGGCGGCGUGCCUUACACAUGCAAGUCGUACGCGAAAGGGGAAUCCAGCUUGCUGGGGACCCCCGGUAGAGUGGCGAACGGGAGCGUAACACGUGAGGAACCUGCCUCGGAGUGGGGAAUAACCCAGAGAAAUCUGGGCUAAUUCCGCAUGAUGCAGCGGCCCCGCAUGGGGACAGUUGUUAAAGACCGCCUCUGCUUGCAAGCGGUCGCUUCGAGAUGGUCUCGCGGCCUAUCAGCUAGUUGGCGGGGUAAUGGCCCACCAAGGCGACGACGGGUAGCCGGCCUGGAGAGGGUGUCCGGGCCUACGAGUUGGGACUGAGACCACGGCCCAGACUCCUACGGGAGCAGCAGUGAGGAUCUUGCGCAAGUGGCGAAAGCCUAGACGCAGCGACGCCGCGUGAGGAUGAAGGUCCGUUCGGUUACGUAAACCUCGUAGUCGAAGGGGAA